rnacentral:rRNA from 2 species
AAUCCAUAGGUUAAUGAGGCGAACCGGGGGAACUGAAACAUCUAAGUACCCCGAGGAAAAGAAAUCAACCGAGAUUCCCCCAGUAGCGGCGAGCGAACGGGGAGGAGCCCAGAGCCUGAAUCAGCAUGUGUGUUAGUGGAAGCGUCUGGAAAGGCGCGCGAUACAGGGUGACAGCCCCGUACACAAAAGCGCAUGUGCUGUGAGCUCGAUGAGUAGGGCGGGACACGUGGUAUCCUGUCUGAAUAUGGGGGGACCAUCCUCCAAGGCUAAAUACUCCUGACUGACCGAUAGUGAACCAGUACCGUGAGGGAAAGGCGAAAAGAACCCCGGCGAGGGGAGUGAAAAAGAACCUGAAACCGUGUACGUACAAGCAGUGGGAGCACCCUUUGGGGUGUGACUGCGUACCUUUUGUAUAAUGGGUCAGCGACUUAUAUUCUGUAGCAAGGUUAACCGUAUAGGGGAGCCGCAGGGAAACCGAGUCUUAAC